GUUCCAGAAGCACAAUGGAUAGCGCGUUGGACUUCUAAUCCAUAGGUCGUGGAUUCGAAUUCCACCUGGGAUG
rnacentral:tRNA from 1 species